rnacentral:rRNA from 1 species
GACGAACGCUGGCGGCGUGCCUAAUACAUGCAAGUCGAGCGGACUUUCAAGAAGCUUGCUUUUUGAAAGUUAGCGGCGGACGGGUGAGUAACACGUGGACAACCUGCCUGCAAGACGGGGAUAACUCCGGGAAACCGGGGCUAAUACCGGAUAAUAUCUUCCUUCGCAUGAAGGAAGGUUGAAAGGCGGCGCAAGCUGCCGCUUGCAGAUGGGCCCGCGGCGCAUUAGCUAGUUGGUGAGGUAACGGCUCACCAAGGCGACGAUGCGUAGCCGACCUGAGAGGGUGAUCGGCCACACUGGGACUGAGACACGGCCCAGACUCCUACGGGAGGCAGCAGUAGGGAAUCUUCCGCAAUGGACGAAAGUCUGACGGAGCAACGCCGCGUGAGCGAAGAAGGGCUUCGGAUCGUAAAGCUCUGUUGUCAGGGAAGAACAAGUACCGUUCGAACAGGGCGGUACCUUGACGGUACCUGACCAGAAAGCCACGGCUAACUACGUG